AAAGUCCUACACCUGGAGAGGAACAAUCACAUGCAUCUGUGCAGGAUAGGGGCUGACCUGCUGGAAAGGAGCUCUGAAGAGAAGGACCUGGACGUCCAGGUGGACAACAGUUUGGCCAUAAGGCAGCACUGUGCCCUGUGGCCAGGAAGUUCACUGGGAACAUGGGCUGUGUUAAAAAGAGCAGCAGUGUUAAAAAUGAUCAGCAGGUCAAGGGAAGGUGAUCUUUCCAAUCUUCUCUGCCCUGUGUACUCAAGAGGAACUGAAGUUUCUGCAGCCUUCUUUUCAUCUGGACAGCUCCUAGCCUGUCAUACUUUAAUACGACAAGGGCAAGAAUAUAACAGAUGGAAGACUGAGAAAUAUCAGGACUCCGGCUAUGCACUACUUGAUCCAGAGGUCUUUUGAUAUAACCCAAUGAUCUCCAGCUCCUCUCAAGAGCAAAGAAAAUGCAAAAUCGGCCACAGAAGGGCUGACCUUCAAUCAUGAGUCUUUGCACUAUGGAAGUAAUUCAAUAGUAAGCCUAAAAGAGCUCUACAAAAGCUAGCCUAUGUUAUUCAAUCCAUAAGGUAAGAAUCAGGAGAUGAAGACAUAAAGUUUUCUAUCCUAGCUGAAAUACCAGAAAAGAGGCAUCUAUUUUUUGUCUUAUUCUCCUUAGGAUGGGACAAUGAAAGAACUACAACCGUAUAACUUUCAUUCAGCACUCUCCUGUCAGAUGCAGGCAGUCCAAAGUCUGUUACAGUGUAUUUAACAUGCCAAACAAGCCAUCUGAGUCCAAUGUGACUACACCAUGCUUUGGCAUUGCAAAAGUAUCCUAUGGCUGUUUCCUUUAGGCCUCCUUAUGUCUGUGAAAGUGUGCAUGAAAUAAGCACUGUCAGAAAGGGUUAGAUGCUGAAUUAUGUCAUCUGUACAAGUGGGAUUAGUGCUGCUAUCACUUAUUGCUUUCUACCUCCUCUCCCUCUGCUAAUACAAUAAUGCCUAUGAAGGCACCUCAAUGUUAUUUUCAUUUUCAUGAAUUGAACAGGAAAUAAGUUGUCGGGCACAUGUUGACCGGUCUUCUAGUGCUUCUACGUAACAGGACAGGAAAGUACAAAUAUAUCUAUCAAGGCACUGUAGAAUUAAAGCUUGUUUUCUUGUUUUAAAAAAAUGAAUUAUGUAUACUAAAAAUAAAAGUAAUAAAUUUUUUUAGAAGCCACAGUAGAAGUUUUGAUUUCUAAUUUUCAGCAUGUCCCCUUUAUCAUUUUUCUCUUUAAAAUGUUAGUUUUAGUGAUAAUAUCUGUUAGAUCAGUGUAGAGGGACUGUUAGGUCAGAGUUUGAAGUGGUGAUUGAGCACCUGGUGAAGGGGUGUGACUGACUCAGGGAGCACAGGCAAACUGUUUGUACCUGUGCUCCCCAUGUGACCAGAAGGGGUGUAUCCAGGGUGGAGUCACCCUGGGCUCAUAUAAGAGCUAGUCACUGAUGGGAAGGAGUUCUGUAUGGUCUGGAAGACUCUUCAUGUAUUGGGUGAGUCUAACUUUUCUUUCUGUGUGUAACUGUUGGUCUACCUGUGAUUGCUUUGCCUGGGUGUAACCAGGAUCUUCUUAGAAGCAAUUUUGAUUCUUUGUGAGCAGAACAAUUAAAAACUAUUUACUUGUCAGAAAUUUUCAAGUCACCACUGAACUUUUUUUCAUGUGAAAGCUUCCUAAAUGCUUUUUUCAGGAGAAUGGUCUGAGUGAGUUUGGAGGGUGAAAUUAAUCAAUGGCCUGAAAAUGUAUCUGUUGCAAGUAAAUUAAAAUCAAGCCUGGUAACUUUUACUCUGGAAACUAAGCUUCAAUCUUACGUCAGUUUUACUAGAGCCUAUUUUUUAAUGUGACUGUCAUAAAGGCAUAUAGGUAUCUUUUUCAAGGGAGAAGCCCAGUAGAUUAAAAAAAAAAAAACCUACUUCUGAAAUUUAUAUAGGGGAAAAGCCUAGGGAAAAAAAAAUAGCUCUAUAUUAUCUACAGAAACUUGUACUAAAUAUCACCCACUUUACAGAAAUUCUGUGAUUUUCCAGGUGGUGGCAAAGACUCAGACAAAAGUUGAUAUGGCUACUUUUCUGUAGGCUUCUAAGUAUGAUUAUGGUACAAUUCCAUUAUAAUACAUUUUUAAUGUCAGUUUGACCUAGAAGGCUUUGUUUCUCUGUUUAUCUUUUGAUGUCUCUGUGAACUACUUGAAAUUAUAAUGGCACUGUGAUUUAUGAAAACUUGCCUGUAUGACAAAAGCAGGAGAUGUACCAACAAUAAUGGUCUGCUGCAAUAUGUUUUUUAAUGAAUUCUGUGCAUUUAUUUCUUAUUUCCCUUUUAAUUUUGUAGUCUCUGGCAUUAUAGAUGCUAUCAAUUCCUUAGGAUGGAAGCUCUCUUUCUGUUAUGGUUUUGUAUAGUGCUUAGCACAAUAGGAUAUUUGACAAAGGCUACUAGACACAAUAGUAGUGGUAAAUAAUACCUGUCAUUGUUUGCUGUCUCUUUAAAAUGUAAGAAAACUUAUACAAGCUAUUUCAUUAGUUUCUACUCAAUAAAAAUUUCAUGCCACU
ensembl:lncRNA